rnacentral:misc_RNA from 1 species
UACGGAGGAUCCAAGCGUUAUCCGGAAUCAUUGGGUUUAAAGGGUCCGUAGGCGGUCUUAUAAGUCAGUGGUGAAAUCUCCCCGCUCAACGGGGAAACGGCCAUUGAUACUGUAGGACUUGAAUUAUAAGGAAGUAACUAGAAUAUGUAGUGUAGCGGUGAAAUGCUUAGAGAUUACAUGGAAUACCAAUUGCGAAGGCAGGUUACUACUUAUGGAUUGACGCUGAUGGACGAAAACGUGGGUAGCGAACAGG